rnacentral:rRNA from 1 species
GACGAACGCUGGCGGCGUGCUUAACACAUGCAAGUCGAACGGAAAGGCCCCUUUGGGGGUACUCGAGUGGCGAACGGGUGAGUAACACGUGAGUAACCUGCCCUUGACUUCGGGAUAACUUCAAGAAACUGGGGCUAAUACCGGAUAGGAAUCCUUGCUGCAUGGUGGGGGUUGGAAAGCUUCGGCGGUUUUGGAUGGACUCGCGGCUUAUCAGCUUGUUGGUGGGGUAGUGGCUUACCAAGGCUUUGACGGGUAGCCGGCCUGAGAGGGCGACCGGCCACAUUGGGACUGAGAUACGGCCCAGACUCCUACGGGAGGCAGCAGUGGGGAAUAUUGCACAAUGGGCGGAAGCCUGAUGCAGCAACGCCGCGUGCGGGAUGACGGCCUUCGGGUUGUAAACCGCUUUCAGCAGGGGCGAAGCUUGUGGUGACGGUACCUGCAGAAGAAGCACCGGCUAACUACGUG